AUGCGGGUGUGCUUGCAAUGGAAGCGUACAAAAAGUUGGAGAAGGCAGGGCAAUGGGACGCACAGGAAGGUGCAGAGAACGAGAGAGGAAGCGUAUUAUCAGAUCGUUCGUUUUGAGGUCAUACAAAUCUUGUACAUGGAUGAUGAUGCUGACCACAUACCUCGCUCAUACGUGUUUAAGAAGACAUGAAGAAUAUUAAAGACAUUCGGCUAUUGUCAUUGAACAGAUGUUGUGACAAGGGAAGAAGUGAUCGGUAAGGAUGAGGAGGAGCAAACUAGUUUGGAUGAGGUUGACUGAUGAGGAACCUGAUCAUGAUGGAAUAAUGGAAUUUCUUUUGCUAUUUUUGGAAAUUUUU